AGAAAAGAAAUAUUUUUUUCUUAAAAGGAAAGAAAACAUACUGUGAGAUUCCCAGAGAGUCUAAAUGCUGCACGUUCAGCUCAUACGGAGGAAGCAAGGUUGCGUGCGUGUUAAUAGCUCACGUAAGAAAGGAAAGGGAAACAAGAACCUGAUAACGAUACAAGACAGAAGCUUCAUCGAGAGGGAUUCUACGUAAAGGGAAUUAGAGUAUAUGUAUCUUAAUAUUUCCUUUUGUUUAGUUAAGAUUUCUAUAGUUAGCUAGUCAAGUUUGGUUCGGACUUUGUUAGUUUCAGAGUAUAAAUAUGUACCUGUAGAGCUUGUAAAGGGUAAUCUCUCGAUCAACCAAUACAAUCUUUUGGCG
rnacentral:lncRNA from 1 species